AUUGAACGCUGGCGGCAGGCCUAACACAUGCAAGUCGAACGGUAGCACAGAGAGCUUGUUCUCGGGUGACGGGUGGCGGACGGGUGAGUAACGUCUGGGAAACUGCCCGAUGGAGGGGGAUAACUACUGGAAACGGUAGCUAAUACCGCAUAACGUCGCAAGACCAAAGUGGGGGACCUUCGGGCCUCACACCAUCGGAUGUGCCCAGAUGGGAUUAGCUAGUAGGUGGGGUAAUGGCUCACCUAGGCGACGAUCCCUAGCUGGUCUGAGAGGAUGACCAGCCACACUGGAAAUGAGACACGGUCCAGACUCCUACGGGAGGCAGCAGUGGGGAAUAUUGCACAAUGGGCGCAAGCCUGAUGCAGCCAUGCCGCGUGUAUGAAGAAGGCCUUCGGGCUGUAAAGUACUUUCAGCGGGGAGGAAGGCGGUGAAGUUAAUAACUUCACCGAUUGACGUUACCCGCAGAAGAAGCACCGGCUAACUCCGUGCCAGCCGCCGCAGUAA
rnacentral:rRNA from 1 species